AGGCCUAACACAUGCAAGUCGAACGAAGGCUUCGGCCUUAGUGGCGCACGGGUGCGUAACGCGUGGGAAUCUGCCCCUUGGUUCGGAAUAACAGUUAGAAAUGACUGCUAAUACCGGAUAAUGACGUAAGUCCAAAGAUUUAUCGCCGAGGGAUGAGCCCGCGUAGGAUUAGCUAGUUGGUGUGGUAAAGGCGCACCAAGGCGACGAUCCUUAGCUGGUCUGAGAGGAUGAUCAGCCACACUGGGACUGAGACACGGCCCAGACUCCUACGGGAGGCAGCAGUGGGGAAUAUUGGACAAUGGGCGAAAGCCUGAUCCAGCAAUGCCGCGUGAGUGAUGAAGGCCUUAGGGUUGUAAAGCUCUUUUACCCGGGAUGAUAAUGACAGUACCGGGAGAAUAAGCCCCGGCUAACUCCGUGCCAGCAGCCGCGGUAAU
rnacentral:rRNA from 1 species